AUCCACCCGCCUCGGCCUCCCAAAGUGCUGGGAUUACAGGCGUGAGCCACCGCACCCGGCCGAUAUUACAAAAUCUGGCCUCCAGAGGAACCAGCGCUGCCGACUCCUUGAUUCUAACCCACUGAGGCCUAUUUUGGAUUUCUGCACCCCAGAACUGUGGGAGAGUAAAUUGUGCUGUUGAAGCCACCACAUUUGUGGUGAUCUGUUCCAGCUGCAGUAGGAAGCUCGUAUGCUUGGCAGUUCUGAUUGUGAACUCACCUUUAUGUUGGAGAUUCCUUUACACAUAAGUCCCCUUAUCCACAGCGGACAAAUUCCAUGACCCCCAGUGGAUGCCUGAAAUCGCGGAGAGUACUGAAUCCUACAUAUAAUGUGUUCUUUCCUAUAUGUAUAUGUAUAUAUCUAUAUCUAUGAUACAGUCUAAUUUAUAAAUUAGGCACAGUGAGAGAUUAACAACAAUAACUAAUAGUAAAAUAGGACAAUGAUGACAAUAUAAUGUAAUAAAAGUUUUGUGAAUAUGGUC
rnacentral:lncRNA from 1 species